CGCACCUUGCGCUCCUUGGUAUUCCGAGGAGCAUGCCUGUUUGAGUGUCAUUAAAUUCUCAACCUCACCCGUUUUCAUUAACCUGCUGAGGCUUGGAUGUGGGGGUUUGUGCAGGCUGCGCCUCAGCGUGCGGUCUGCUCCCCUGAAAUGCAUUAGCGAGUUCAUACUGAACCUCCGUCUAUUGGUGUGAUAAUUAUCUACGCCGUGGACUUGGUUUAGACUCGCUUCUAACCGUCCGCGAGGACAAUACCUUUGACAAUUUGACCUCAAAUCAGGUAGGACUACCCGCUGAACUUAA
rnacentral:misc_RNA from 1 species